CUCCGCCCCGUUUUGCGCGCAGCCGUGGGAUCUCGGAGGAGGGCGUCCAUUAGGCCGCGUGUGACCAUGUAAGGAAGAGAACUUGACCCCAAGACUUGGAAUGGACAAUUGAAAGCCACCCCUGACCCCUUCCCUACCCAGAUCAUAACUUAACAGCUCCACUGUUAUAAUCUGAAGAGACAUCUGAAGCAUCAAACUUGCCUUUCUCACCCGCCAACCAGGCCACAGGAGUGAGAACGACAAGUGUGACCAACGCCCUCUACAGUGUUUUUCAGGU